UACGGAGGAUGCGAGCGUUAUCCGGAUUUACUGGGUUUAAAGGGUGCGUAGGCGGACGCUUAAGUCAGCGGUAAAAUUGCGGGGCUCAACCUCGUCGAGCCGUUGAAACUGGGUGCCUUGAGUGGGCGAGAAGUACGCGGAAUGCGUGGUGUAGCGGUGAAAUGCAUAGAUAUCACGCAGAACUCCGAUUGCGAAGGCAGCGUACCGGCGCCCUACUGACGCUGAAGCACGAAGGCGUGGGUAUCGAACAGG
rnacentral:rRNA from 1 species